CGUCAUGAAAGUCGGUAACACCCGAAGCCAGUGGCCUAACCUUUUGGAGGGAGCUGUCGAAGGUGGGAUCGGCGAUUGGGACGAAGUCGUAACAAGGUAGCCGUACCGGAAGGUGCGGCUGGAUCACCUCCUUUCUAAGGAGCACCACGAGAAACACUCCAAUUGGUGGGGUGUGAGCCGUGAGGGGUUCUCGUCUGUAGUGGACGAGGGCCGGGUGCACAACAACAGGCAAUCGCCAGACACACUAUUGGGCCCUGAGACAACACUCGGCCGACUUCGGUUGAAGUGGUGUCCCUCCAUCUUGGUGGUGGGGUGUGGUGUUUGAGUAUUGGAUAGUGGUUGCGAGCAUCUAAAUGA
rnacentral:misc_RNA from 1 species